rnacentral:rRNA from 1 species
GACGAACGCUGGCGGCGUGCUUAACACAUGCAAGUCGAACGGAAAGGCCCCCACUUUUUUGGUUGGGGUGCUCGAGUGGCGAACGGGUGAGUAACACGUGGGUGAUCUGCCCUUUACUUCGUGAUAAGCUUGGUAAACUGGGUCUAAUACCGGAUAGGACCAUGGUUUAGUUUCUCAUGUUGGUAACAUUAUUGUUUUGUUUCAGUAUUAGCUCGCGGCCUGUCAGCUUGUUGGUGGGGUAAUGGCCUACCAAGGCGUCGACGGGUAGCCGGCCUGAGUGGGUGGAAGGACAAAAUGGGAAUGAGAGACGGGACAGACUGCUAAGGGAGGCAGGAGUGGGGAAUAAUGAAAAAUGGGAGGAAGAAUGAUGAAGCGACGCGGCGUGGGGGAGGACGGGCUUCGGGUUGUAAACUCCUUUAGGUAGGGACGAAGGCGCAACUUUUGUGGGUGUGGGGAAGGUAAAUUUGUGAAGAAGCACCGGCUAACUACGUG